UACGUAGGGGGCAAGCGUUGUCCGGAAUCAUUGGGCGUAAAGAGCGUGUAGGCGGUCCGGUAAGUCGGCUGUGAAAGUCCAGGGCUCAACCCUGGGAUGCCGGUCGAUACUGCCGGACUAGAGUUCGGAAGAGGCGAGUGGAAUUCCCGGUGUAGCGGUGAAAUGCGUAGAUAUCUGGAGGAACACCGGUGGCGAAGGCGGCAUCCUGGACCAACACUGACGCUGAGUGAGCGAAAGCCAGGGGAGCAAACGGG
rnacentral:rRNA from 1 species